rnacentral:ncRNA from 1 species
GUCGCGUUUCGGCGUGACCGUUCGCGCCGAGCCCCGGUGCUCAUGGUCGGCUCGCCCGACGGCAAGAACCGUCGACGCGGCCCCGUCGCAGGCGGGGUCCCGUCGGUCGGCGACGUGUUUCGAGCUACUUUCCGACCCGUCUUGAAACACGGACCAAGGAGUCUAACGUGUGCGCGAGUCAACGGUGAUCUUACGAAAAACCACGUUUGGCGCAAUGAAAGUGAACCGUUUACGGUGCGGACGAUGGCCUAGCGACCGAACCCACCGGCGUUCAAAGUCGCGCUGGUCCGCAGUCCGGGGGCGUCUCCGCCAAGUCGGCUUCGGCCGGCUGGGGGCGCACCCUUAGCGCACACGUUGGUACCCGAAAGAUGGUGAACUAUGCCUGGCCAGGAUGAAGUCAGGGGAAACCCUGAUGGAGGUCCGCAGCGAUUCUGACGUGCAAAUCGAUCGUCUGAGCUGGGUAUAGGGGCGAAAGACUAAUCGAACCAUCUAGUAGCUGGUUCCAUCCGAAGUUUCUCUCAGGAUAGCUGGCGCCGAUGUGUCCCGCCCGUUCGCGGGCGUACGGACGCCGGUGGGACUCCGCGCUGUACGGCGCGGUAACAACACGCUCGUAACACGGAGGAUGUCUCAUACGGUAAAGCGAAUGAUUAGAGGACAUUGGGGCCGAAACGACCUCAACCUAUUCUCAUACU